rnacentral:lncRNA from 1 species
AGCGAUCUACCCUGGCGCGGUGCCAAACCUUCAGGGUUGGGUCAGUCGUUUGCACUCAAUCUGCCCGUAUACCGAUCAAACAUGGCGGGAUUUAUCCCGGGCUCGGUGGGAGGCCGGAGGCCCUAGUAAGUCUUGAGUCUUGAUGUAUCCAUGCAUUUUGAUGUAGCUUGUUGUUAGUAGCUUUCUCUAUACCGUGCAUUUUAACAUCUACAUCUAUGCAGGUCUGGGAGGAAUCUUUCUGAUGAGGGAGGUGCCGUGUGUCAGAGGGGUCACUCUGAUGCAUGAUGAGGAGAGGAAGAGGCAGGAGAGCCUAUCGGUUGAGCCACCGGAACACAAGAGGAAUAGAGUGG